GGUUUCGUAGCCCAACUAGUAGAGCGCUUGCCGCAUUGCGGCAUGUCGUGUAUGUCGCUGGUUCGAAUCCAGCCGGAACCU
rnacentral:tRNA from 1 species